rnacentral:rRNA from 1 species
ACGGGAGGCAGCAGUGAGGAAUAUUGGUCAAUGGGCGAGAGCCUGAACCAGCCAAGUAGCGUGAAGGAUGACUGCCCUAUGGGUUGUAAACUUCUUUUGUCCAGGAAUAAAAAAGCCCUCGCGCAGGGUUCUUGCAGGUACUGGUUGAAUAAGGACCGGCUAAUUCCGUGCCAGCAGCCGCGGUAAUACGGAAGGUCCGAGCGUUAUCCGGAUUUAUUGGGUUUAAAGGGUGCGUAGGCGGGAAGUCAAGUCAGCCGUAAAAUCGCCGGGCUCAACCCGGUCCCGCGGUUGAAACUGUCUUCCUUGAGUACACUAGAGGGCGAUGGAAUUCGUGGUGUAGCGGUGAAAUGCAUAGAUAUGGCGAAGAACUCCGAUUGCGUAGGCAGCUGACCAGGCCGUAAAUGACGCUCAUGCACGAAAGUGCGGGGAUCGAACAGGAUUAGAUACCCUGGUA